rnacentral:rRNA from 1 species
UACGUAGGGACCGAGCGUUGUCCGGAAUCAUUGGGCGUAAAGAGCGUGUAGGCGGCCACUUAAGUCCUGCGUGAAAUCUUGCGGCUCAACCGCAAGCGGUCGUGGGAAACUGGGUGGCUAGAGUGCGGGAGAGGAGAGUGGAAUUCCUGGUGUAGCGGUGGAAUGCGCAGAUAUCAGGAAGAACACCCGUGGCGAAGGCGACACACUGGCCCAUUACUGACGCUGAGGCUCGAAAAGCGUGGGGAGCAAACAGG